GCCGGAUGAUCUGGUGAAGCCUUACCACGGGGAUCUCCGGAUGCAGUUCGAGCAGGAGCAGGUUCUUGAGGCGCAUUACAAUACCGGCGAUGAUCCGUCCGAGGGUCCCCCCAGCUUUGUUCGGUGUGGCAUCAAUGUGAAUGCAACACCACAUAUGCGCCGCGGACCUGAAGGACCAAGGACUCUUUGUAAUGCAUGUGGGAUUGCUCGGACGAAGUGUUCAGGUGAAACUGGAGAUAGAUUUGACUGGAUUCACUAGAGAAGCAUCAACUUUCAUCGACUGAUCCAGUUGGAACAACUUGUUUCUGCUGCACGCUUACUCAUGUCUCGUUCCUCUCCCAUUGCAGAAACAACAAAGAUCAGACUGCAAUCUUCUGUGCCACCACCAAGUGUGUUCUCCAGAUUCAGCUCAUGAAGUGGAUAAGUGGUAAGGAACAUAACAUUUGGUAGGGCAGAGACACGGAACCACCAGAGACCAUGUGCAGCACCUCCAUGAAGAUGUUGAAAGCUAAGUGGUCCCAAUGAACUUUUGUGGUUCCACAUGGACUCUAUUAAAAUUCCAACAUCUACUUCCUUGUCUU